GGAACUCCAGCAAUUGACAGUGACGCCUCGGCCGAUGGAUUGGACGCCCCAGCCCGUCCGUUCCUGCCCAGCCCUUGGGUCCCUGUCAAGUGGUGGGACUCCCAACCCCUCCAGGUGAAGUGGAAAGGGCCUUUGCAGGCCUUGCUGAUCCCAUUUCUAGCAGUUCAAGUUGCAGAAAAGGGACCUUGGGCAUCUUAUUGUUGAGUUAGGAAAACUCCUUUGAUUGGUCAGCAGAACAAACUGAAUCCUUGCAGGUUCUCAUCCGUGAAUCAGUCUGUGUUCUGAUUCAGGGCUGUAGCUGUUGUAGUCACUCAGGAGUCCAACUGUGCUUUGAAUAAGGAGACCUUGUCCUAAUGGCCAAGUGUCAGGAAAGAAGGGGGGAUGCUGUGUGAGUUUUGAGGUGUAACGAGAGCUGAUACUUUUUGCAGGGGGCUGUGGCAUCAAAACUGCAGAGAGCCGAGCCAGGGGAUUGACAGGGACUAACCCAGGGAGGUGAAGAAACAAGGAAGAAGGGAACUGAGGCAGCAACCAAGCAGCACCAAGUUCCUCUGUCAGCAGGUGAGUUGUCUUGAGGUUCCUAAGAAACUGCAGUGGAGC